CCUACGGGUGGCAGCAGUGGGGAAUAUUGGGCAAUGGACGCAAGUCUGACCCAGCAACGCCGCGUGAAGGAAGAAGGCUUUCGGGUUGUAAACUUCUUUUAAGGGGGAAGAGCAGAAGACGGUACCCCUUGAAUAAGCCACGGCUAACUACGUGCCAGCAGCCGCGGUAAUACGUAGGUGGCAAGCGUUAUCCGGAAUGACUGGGAGUAAAGGGUGCGUAGGUGGUUUGACAAGUUGGUAGCGUAACUCCGAGGCUUAACCUCGGCACUACUACCAAAACUGUUGGACUCGAGUGCAGGAGGGGCAAAUGGAAUUCCUAGUGUAGCGGUGGAAUGCGUAGAUAUUAGGAGGAACACCAGUGGCGAAGGCGAUUUGCUGGACUGUAACUGACACUGAGGCACGAAAGCGUGGGGAGCAAACAGGAGUAGAUACCCCUGUAGUC
rnacentral:rRNA from 1 species